CCUACGGGUGGCGGCAGUGGGGAAUAUUGCACAAUGGGGGAAACCCUGAUGCAGCGACGCCGCGUGAGCGAUGAAGUAUUUCGGUAUGUAAAGCUCUAUCAGCAGGGAAGAAAAUGACGGUACCUGACUAAGAAGCCCCGGCUAACUACGUGCCAGCAGCCGCGGUAAUACGUAGGGGGCAAGCGUUAUCCGGAUUUACUGGGUGGAAAGGGAGCGUAGACGGCGGUGCAAGCCAGAUGUGAAAGCCUGGGGCUCAACCCCGGGACUGCAUUUGGAACUGUGCGGCUAGAGUGUCGGAGAGGCAGGCGGAAUUCCUAGUGUAGCGGUGAAAUGCGUAGAUAUCGCGCAGAACUCCGAUUGCGAAGGCAGCGUACCGGCGCCAGACUGACGCUGAGGCACGAAAGCGUGGGGAUCGAACAGGAUUAGAGACCCGUGUAGUC
rnacentral:rRNA from 1 species